UGGCAGUGUAUUGUUAGCUGGUUGACUAUCUGAACGUGCCAGCUAACAUGCAACUGCUAUC
rnacentral:pre_miRNA from 1 species